UGGGUAACCUGCCCUUCUCUUCGGAAUAAGCGUUGGAAACGACGUCUAAUGCCGAAUACGACCUCCUUUCGCAUGAUCGGAGGCGGAAAGCUCCGGCGGAGAAGGAUGAGCUCGCGGCCUAUCAGCUAGUUGGUGUGGGUAAUGGCCCACCAAGGCGACGACGGGUAGCCGGCCUGAGAGGGUGACCGGCCACACUGGGACUGAGACACGGCCCAGACUCCUACGGGAGGCAG
rnacentral:rRNA from 1 species